rnacentral:rRNA from 2 species
GCUUGCAUCAUGAUUUACAUUUGAGUGAGUGGCGAACUGGUGAGUAACACGUGGGAAACCUGCCCAGAAGCGGGGGAUAACACCUGGAAACAGAUGCUAAUACCGCAUAACAACUUGGACCGCAUGGUCCGAGCUUGAAAGAUGGCUUCGGCUAUCACUUUUGGAUGGUCCCGCGGCGUAUUAGCUAGAUGGUGGGGUAACGGCUCACCAUGGCAAUGAUACGUAGCCGACCUGAGAGGGUAAUCGGCCACAUUGGGACUGAGACACGGCCCAAACUCCUACGGGAGGCAGCAGUAGGGAAUCUUCCACAAUGGACGAAAGUCUGAUGGAGCAACGCCGCGUGAGUGAAGAAGGGUUUCGGCUCGUAAAACUCUGUUGUUAAAGAAGAACAUAUCUGAGAGUAACUGUUCAGGUAUUGACGGUAUUUAACCAGAAAGCCACGGCUAACUACGUGCCAGCAGCCGCGGUAAUACGUAGGUGGCAAGCGUUGUCCGGAUUUAUUGGGCGUAAAGCGAGCGCAGGCGGUUUUUUAAGUCUGAUGUGAAAGCCUUCGGCUCAACCGAAGAAGUGCAUCGGAAACUGGGAAACUUGAGUGCAGAAGAGGACAGUGGAACUCCAUGUGUAGCGGUGAAAUGCGUAGAUAUAUGGAAGAACACCAGUGGCGAAGGCGGCUGUCUGGUCUGUAACUGACGCUGAGGCUCGAAAGUAUGGGUAGCAAACAGGAUUAGAUACCCUGGUAGUCCAUACCGUAAACGAUGAAUGCUAAGUGUUGGAGGGUUUCCGCCCUUCAGUGCUGCAGCUAACGCAUUAAGCAUUCCGCCUGGGGAGUACGGCCGCAAGGCUGAAACUCAAAGGAAUUGACGGGGGCCCGCACAAGCGGUGGAGCAUGUGGUUUAAUUCGAAGCUACGCGAAGAACCUUACCAGGUCUUGACAUACUAUGCAAAUCUAAGAGAUUAGACGUUCCCUUCGGGGACAUGGAUACAGGUGGUGCAUGGUUGUCGUCAGCUCGUGUCGUGAGAUGUUGGGUUAAGUCCCGCAACGAGCGCAACCCUUAUUAUCAGUUGCCAGCAUUAAGUUGGGCCACUCUGG